UACGUAGGGUGCGAGCGUUGUCCGGAAUUACUGGGCGUAAAGAGCUCGUAGGCGGCUUGUCGCGUUUUUCGUGAAAAUUUACCGCUCAACGGUGAACUUGCGGGCGAUACGGGCAGGCUAGAGUACUGCAGGGGAGACUGGAAUUCCUGGUGUAGCGGUGAAAUGCGCAGAUAUCAGGAGGAACACCGGUGGCGAAGGCGGGUCUCUGGGCAGUAACUGACGCUGAGGAGCGAAAGCGUGGGGAGCGAACAGG
rnacentral:rRNA from 1 species